rnacentral:rRNA from 1 species
UACGUAGGUGGCAAGCGUUUGUCCGGAAUUAUUGGGCGUAAAGCGCGCGCAGGCGGUCUUUUAAGUCUGAUGUGAAAGCCCCCCGGCUCAACCGGGGAGGGUCAUUGGAAACUGGGAGACUUGAGUGCAGAAGAGAAGAGUGGAAUUCCACGUGUAGCGGUGAAAUGCGUAGAGAUGUGGAGGAACACCAGUGGCGAAGGCGACUCUUUGGUCUGUAACUGACGCUGAGGCGCGAAAGCGUGGGGAGCAAACAGG